rnacentral:rRNA from 1 species
UACGAAGGGGGCUAGCGUUGUUCGGAAUUACUGGGCGUAAAGCGCACGUAGGCGGACAUUUAAGUCAGGGGUGAAAUCCCGGGGCUCAACCUCGGAACUGCCUUUGAUACUGCAAAUCUCGAGUCCGGAAGAGGUGAGUGGAAUUCCUAGUGUAGAGGUGAAAUUCGUAGAUAUUAGGAAGAACACCAGUGGCGAAGGCGGCUCACUGGUCCGGUACUGACGCUGAGGUGCGAAAGCGUGGGGAGCAAACAGGG